UGCAAGCUACUACUCCGGGCAGAUGCGAGCUGCCACUUCCCUGGAGAAGAGCUCGCCGCCUACCUAGGGAGGAGACUCUCCUUAGAGAGGAGAGACUGCCCGACUGUUGACUCUGCCUUGAGAGGAGAGACUACCAGACCGCUCGAUUGCUGUGCUUUCGACUUGGCCCAGGACGCUUCUUCUCUGAGAGCCCGACCGAGCAACGAUCUCAUCUACGCCUAGGAGAUCUCGGAGAACAGACUUCCUUCGGUGUAGCCCCCUGCAGCCGGAGUGACCUGUAAGGCGAUCGACUGUGGCAGGCAGCCCUAGGAAGAAACUAGCUUCGAGUGAGGAGGGAACACACCUACGUCAGUCCUUACCUGAGUGCUCGAGGACCGACCCUUGACGUAGCCUACGACCUGGAAAGCAGAGAGAAAAAACCUGAGCACUACUCUCAGAAGCACGCACGCGGCCAUGCAGCAGGACACCGCCUUUCCCACCUGAGGACCACGACAGGAGCAGAGAACAUCGUUGCUGACGCGUGAACCCAAACUCCGACGCAACUCACUAUCCUUGUCUGAAUAAAUAAAGGUGCCAGACGGCUCAUAGCG